UGCACAGAGACAAAAAAAAGGAAAAAGGAAAGAAAAGAAAAGAAAAAAGAGAAACAAAAAGAGGGAACGGGGAUCAACUCGGGAGCAAGUUCGGUCACCUUUUGUUUCCCCCUUUGUGUUUCUCAAUGUCCACAUAUAAUUUCAUUUAUUUUCAAAAUUGUUUUCUUUUUCUUUCUUUUCAUCUUCUUUGCUUUUCUCUUCUGUGUUUCUUUGCACUGCCUGUUCACGAAGUGUGGGCCCAAAAAAAGAGGGACGUCGUUUUCAAAGGACAAAACACCGAAAAGAUAAAAAGAUGCAGUUCU
rnacentral:ribozyme from 1 species